rnacentral:lncRNA from 1 species
CAUGCUUUACAUGCUUUCUCUGAAACAUAUGCACAAUAACUCAUGAGGUAGUAUCACUAUGACAGAAGUCUGAGUUUUAAUUGCUAAUACAGUUUUCCAGAUGAAGAGUCAAAGCACAGAGAUUUAUCCCAGGUCAUAUGACUAGUAAUUGGUUGAGCCUUGUCUGCCUAAAUCUGAUUCCUGAGCUCUUGUUAUCACUACCUAAAACGUCUUUCUAGUAGAAAAUAUCAUUAUUAUAUGCAAGUAUGAAUAUAACACAAUGAAACACUUUAUUUUGUACAAUUAAUAUGCACUUUAAAAAAUAAGGCUGGGGGCUGGGAUUGUGGCUCAGCUGUAGAGCGCUUGCCUAGCAUGCGCGAGACCCGGGUUCAAUUCUCAGCAUCAAAAAAUAAAUAAAUAAAGGCAUUGUGUUGUGUCCAUCUACAAAAAAAGAUAUUCUCUCUCUCUUAAAAAAAAAAUAAGGCUGGGAAUGUAGCUCAGGGAUAUAGCACUUGCCUAGUGUAUGCAAGGCCCAGUAUUAAAUAAACAAAUAACAUUUAAAAACCAGAAAACAAAAUAAACUUGUCUCUCCAGGAAAUCCACUGUUCUUCCUCCCAUUAUGUUGCUCGGAGUCCUUGCUCUAUUUGUAUCCAGUCCUGUUACCAUUUCUAGACAUUUUCACAACUUCUACUUUAGGAUAAAUGCUAAACCUAGCUAUCAGUCCACUUCUUGCCUCCCCCAAACUCUGAAGGUUGAAAAAGUCUGUGCUUUCAAUAUCUGCCCAUAAAUUUUACAAGGGCAUUCAACUAUAUUUUGUUCCAAAGAUUGUUAUUUCCUAAUUCUCCUCCUCAAACUUUAAUUACCAUCUUUUUACUCUCAUUGAUGACUUCAUAUCUCUCCCUUUUGGUUAUGCUGAGAAUCAAACACAGGACCUACCACAAACUGGGUGAGAGCUCUAUCACUGAGCCAAAUUCCCAGCCUUAUUUUUAUUUUAAGACAGGGUCUUUCCUCAAAAGGCUAGGCAUGGAACCGCCAUACCGCUCCUUAGUAUUUCUGCAGAAGAAUUAAAAUCAUCAUAUUACAGUGAUACAUACCACCCAUGUUUAUAGCAGCACAAUUCAUAACAAAAGUCAUAUAGAAAAAUGAAAUUAUGUCAUUUGCAGAAAAAUGGAUGAAACUAGAAACCAUUAAGUAAAGUGAAAUAAGUAUAGCUCAGAAGGUUAAGGGUCCUGUGUUUUCUCUCCUAUGUAGAAGCCAGAGAGGAAAAACGAAAAGAAAGAUGGGGGCGGAUCUCAUUAAAAUCAAAGGGACAUCAGAAGAGGAAAACAACCAAGGGAUGGGAGUAGGGAGACAGGGGGAAAGUGCUAGGGCGUGAUACUACCAAAUUAUAUUGUUAUAUUAUAUGCAUGUACAAAUACAGCAACAACUCCCAUCAUUAUGUACAACUAAAAUGCACCAAUUAAAAAAUGCAGAGUGUGGGGAGACAGACUCUCACUAUAUUGUCGAGGAUGGCCUCAAACUUGCAACUUCUCUGCCUCAAUCUCUCAAGAAUCUGGGUUUAUAGGUAUAUGCCACCAUGCUCAGCUCAUAUCAUCUUUCAAAGUCACUCUUCUAAACUGGCAUGUUUACACUUGCAUCAAUGUACUCUGCUUUCUCUCCUACUCUACUAAAUCCAACAUCUUUACAUCUGCUCGAAAUCUUAUUCCUGCAAUCUCAAGGAUUUGGUGUCAAAAUUACUUUCUCAAUGGGGUGCCAAGGCACAAGCCAGGGAAUUUGGGAGAAUAGAGCAGCAGGAUGGAAAGUUAGAGGCUAGCCACAGCAACUAAGUGAGAUCCCACCCUCAGUGACUUAGAAACCCUGUCUUAAUUUUUUUAUAUCUUUAUUUCAUUCAUUCAUUCAUUUAUUUAUUUAUAAUUUAUGUGGUGCUGAGGAUUGAACCUAAAGCCUCACAAGUGUGAGGCAACCGCUCUACCACUGAGCUAUAACCCUAGCCCCUUAAAAUUUUUUAAAAAGUUGUCUUGUUUAGGGCAAUUUUUCCCUUUUUCAUAGGCACAAAAUAUCUUAAUAUUUUACAAAAUAUCUAUCUUACAAAAUCUAUCUUACCAAAAAAAAAUUACUAUUGACUCCACAUAGUACCAUUCUCUUUCCUUCUCAUUAAAAUCAACAUAAAAAAGUUUUCUCCAUUUCUCUGUUCAUCAUUCAACUUGUUUGGCCCAGCAUUCUCUGAAAACAGGAUCUACCAAGAUGUCUCAUGACUCCCAUCAUGCCAAAUUCAAGAGUCAAUUCCACUGUCAUCUCACUCAACUACUCAGAUCUGACACAACUGCCUGAGUUUUCUUGAAUAUUUCCUGUUGGAUUCUAAGACACUUCUCUCUCCUGUUUCCUAGCACAUUCUGGAUGCUCCUUCUCAAACUCCUUUUUUGGCUUCUCCUAAUUUUCCAAUGAACUUCUGUAUAUCCUUUUCUUUUCUCUAUAUACACUCCAUAUUCUUUCUAGGUAAUCCCAUCCAAUCCACAACUGAUGAAUAAAAUAAUUUCUCUACCCCUAACCACCACUAUGAGCUGCAGCCCAGAACUCAAACUAUCUUCUUGUUUUUUUUUUUUUUUUUGGGGGGGGGUACCAGGGAUUGAACUCAGGGGCACUCAAAACCACUGAGCCACAUCCCCAGCCCUAUUUUGUAUUUUAUUUAAAGACAGGGUCUCACCGAGUUGCUUAGUGCCUUGCUAUUGGUAAGGCUGGCUUUGAAAUCAUGAUGUUCCUGUCUCAGCUUCCUGAGCCAGUGGGAUUACAGACAUGCACCACUGCACCUGGCUUCAUUUUUUUUAGUUGUAGAUGAACACAAUACCUUUAUUUUAUUUUAUGCAGUGCUGAGGAGUGAACCCUGUGCCUCCUAUGAGCAAGGCAAGCACUCUACCACUAAGCCACACUCCCAGCCCUCAAUCACCUUCUUGAGAACUCAAGCACCUCAGAAAUGAACAGGCCCAAAAGAAAGUUUUUAUCCUUGACUUUAUCACUAUUAUAAACAUGCAUCAAUAAGUGGAAAAAUGUAUUGGUUGGAUAUCAAACACCGAAGUAUCCACAGAUAAUGGCAAUGCAAAAGGCAUAAAAUAAGAAAUGUAUCUAAAUAAAAUACAAAACAGGGCUGGGGAUGUGCCUCAGUGGUUGAGUACCCCUGAGUUUAAUCCCCAGUACCAAAAAAAAAAAAGUACAAAAUAAAAUGUUUUGAAUGAGCAAUGUUCACAUAAUCCUAAUGUAAAUACUGAUUACAGAUUUAAUUGUGCUAUAAACUUGUUGGGAACUGCAUAAAGAAUCUGUAGAAAUAUAUGUAGGAGAACUAAAUUUUUAUUUAUUAUAGUAACAAAAUAAAUAUCUAAAACUGCAAAAUCAAGAAACUGCAGUUAAGCAUUAUAUUUUGAAAAGUAGAAGUAAAUAAAUAGCUAUAAG